rnacentral:rRNA from 1 species
AUUCCUGUACCGCUGAUUUAUGACAAAGACACUAAGGGAGGACGCAGGAGGUUACGUCGGCUAGCGGAUGGAAAUGCUAGUUUAAGCAAAUAGGAUGGUUCUAUAGGCAAAUCCGUAGGAUUAAAUCUGAGAUGUGAUGACGAGGGGCUACGGCCCUGAAGUGACUUACACCAAACUGCCAGGAAAAGUCUCGUAGUGAAUAAAUAAGUACCCGUACCGUAAACCGACACAGGUAGACAGGUAGAGAAUACUAAGGUGCGCGAGCUAACUCUCGUUAAGGAACUCGGCAAAAUAACCUCGUAACUUCGGAAGAAGAGGUACCAUAUUAGAGUGAAGGGAGAAACACCCGGAGCUUGAGGUGGUUGCAACGGAGAGUCCCAAGCAACUGUUUAACAAAAACACAGGUCUGUGCAAAAUCGUAAGAUGAAGUAUACGGGCUGACGCCUGCCCAGUGCCGGAAGGUUAAUAGGAGAUGUCAGGGGUAACCUAAAGCAUCGAAUUGAAGCCCCGGUGAACGGCGGCCGUAACUAUAACGGUCCUAAGGUAGCGAAAUUCCUUGUCAGGUAAGUUCUGACCCGCACGAAAGGCGUAAUGAUUUGGGAACUGUCUCAACGAGAGGCUCGGCGAAAUUGGAUUAGCUGUGAAGAUACGGCUUACUCAUACCCGGACAGAAAGACCCCACGGAGCUUUACUGUAGCUUGUCAUUGAACUUGGGGCUUGCAUGUGCAGGAUAGGUGGGAGACUUUGAGCCCAAAGCGUCAGCUUUGGAGGAGUCACCGGUGAGAUACCACUCUUGCAAGCUUUAGGUUCUAACCUUUUCCCGUAAUCCGGGAGAGGGACAGUGGCUGGUAGGCAGUUUGACUGGGGCGGUCGCCUCCUAAAGAGUAACGGAGGCGCCCAAAGGUUCCCUCAGGCUGGAUGGAAAUCAGCCAUAGAGUGUAAAGGCAUAAGGGAGCUUAACUGUGAGACCAACAAGUCGAACAGAUACGAAAGUAGGGCUUAGUGAUCCGACGGUAGUGCGUGGAAGCGCCGUCGCUCAACGGAUAAAAGUUACCCUGGGGAUAACAGGCUGAUCUCCCCCAAGAGUCCACAUCGACGGGGAGGUUUGGCACCUCGAUGUCGGCUCGUCGCAACCUGGGGCGGUAGUACGUCCCAAGGGUUGGGCUGUUCGCCCAUUAAAGCGGUACGUGAGCUGGGUUCAGAACGUCGUGAGACAGUUCGGUCCAUAUCCGGUAUGAGCGCAAGAGAAUUGAGAGGAGCCGUCCUUAGUACGAGAGGACCGGGACGGACCAACCGCCGGUGUACGAGUGGUGUCGCCAGAUGCCAAUGCUCGGUAGCUGCGUUGGGAGCGGAUAAGCGCUGAAAGCAUAUAAGUGCGAAGCCCACCUCAAGAUGAGUUCUCUCACUGCGUUAAGCAGGUAAGAGCCCGUGUAGAUAAUACGGUUGAUAGGCUGCAAGUUGAAGGAUGGUAACAUCUGUAGCUGAGCAGUACUAAUAGCUCGAGGGUUUGACC